GACGAACGCUGGCGGCGUGCCUAACACAUGCAAGUCGAACGGAGUUAAUUAUUUAGAUCCCUUCGGGGUGACGAAUUUUUAACUUAGUGGCGGACGGGUGAGUAACGCGUGAGCAACCUGCCUUACAGAGGGGGACAACAGUUGGAAACGACUGCUAAUACCGCAUAACAUGUCUUUAUCGCAUGGUAGAGAUAUCAAAGGAGCAAUCCGCUGUAAGAUGGGCUCGCGUCCGAUUAGAUAGUUGGUGGGGUAACGGCCUACCAAGUCGACGAUCAGUAGCCGGACUGAGAGGAUGAACGGCCACAUUGGGACUGAGAUACGGCCCAGACUCCUACGGGAGGCAGCAGUGGGGAAUAUUGGGCAAUGGGCGAAAGCCUGACCCAGCAACGCCGCGUGAAGGAAGAAGGCCUUCGGGUUGUAAACGUUC
rnacentral:rRNA from 1 species